AGAAACAAAGCGGGAAAGUACAAACAUACAAUUAACAUUAAGCAUGAGGAUGGUGGUAGGAGGAUAGUACUUGAGACAAAGCUACAGAUCCUGCAGGAUGAUGAAAUCAAUUCGAGAGAUGUGGAAUAUGGUAGUAUACUGUGAGAGGAAGGCUGUGCUAGGAUUGAUAAUUCUUCUAUCAAUCCUAGCAUUCAUCAUUGGAGUUCUCAUUGGACACUUCGGCUGGGGCAUCCAUCAACCAGUUAAUUAAAGAUCAAUCCUAGCAUUCAUUAUUGGAGUUCUCAUUGGACACUUCGGCUGGGCCAUCCAUCAACCAGUUAAUUAAAGAUCAAUCCUAGCAUUCAUCAUUGGAGUUCUCAUUGGACACUUCGGCUGGGGCAUCCAUCAACCAGUUAAUUAGAGAUCAAUCCUAGCAUUCAUUAUUGGAGUUCUCAUUGGACACUUCGGCUGGGGCAUCCAUCAACCAGUUAAUUAGAGAUCAAUCCUAACAUUCAUUAUUGGAGUUCUCAUUGGACAUUUCGAUAGGGGGAUUUAGCAACCAGUUGAUUAGAGAUCAAUCAAUCAAUCAACGAGUAUACAAGAGAUCUAUCAAUCAUUCAACUUGUAAACUAGAGAUCAAUCAAUCAAUCAAUUAGUAAACUAGAGAUCAAUCAAUCAAUCAGUAAACAAGAGAUCAAUCAAUCAAUCAGCCAGUAAACUAGAUAUCAAUUAAUCAACCAGUAAUCUAAAGAUCAAAUAACUAGUAAAAUAAAGAUCUAUUUCUCAAUCAAUCAAUCAACCAGUAAACUAGAGAGUAGAAAUCUAUCAACCAAUCAACUUGUAAACUAGAGAUCAAUCAAUCAACCAACCAGUAAUCUAAAGAUCAAGUAACUAGUGCAAUAAACAUCUAUCUCUCAAUCAAUCAAUCAACCAGUACACUAAAGAUCAAGUCAUCAACCUGUAAUCUAAAGAUCAAAUAACUAGUAUACUAAAGAUCUAUUCCUCAACCAAUCAACCAGUAAACUAGAGAUCAAUUAAUCAAGUAAUCAAUCAAUUAUUUAGUUUAUAAAUUUGUGAAUUUGAUCCUGAAAUUCAAAGUGAGACAGAAAAGUGAAAGCAUGGAUGACAUUGGUAGUUCAGUUCUCUGUAUUGACUGUUCAUGUUCCAGGACAUGGAUCAACAAACUUUAUUUAUUCAGGGCUCAAAGUGAAGACGUCCCCUAGGGCCCAUGAAUCAUGGGCCAUGAUGAGGAAUACCCCUUUUUAACUUGAUCCACUUUUCAAACAUUUAAUUAUUGUUUUUUUGUUAUGCUUUGGGUCCAGUAAACUCUGUCGAAUUUAACAUAUUUUAAAAUUAAAUUUUUCAAAAAUCUACUCUUAUUACAAUAUGAAAAAUAUUGACGAUGACAGUAAUCAUAGGUUUAAAGUUUGCUGACUUUUGUCGAUUUUAAUGAAGCCCUUAACCACAAAAUAAUUGUAUCAGUACUAAUCUGAUACAGGGGUUCAUUUUAUUCCCAAAAUAGCUGGUUUUGACCCAAACUAAAAAAAUGCCCCCAACUAAAACACAUUUUCAAAUUCCACUAACUCAUUUGCCCCCAAUUGGAAAAAAAUUCCGAAACUUAAAUAAUGUAAAAUUGUCGAAAUCAAAUUAGAAACUGUUUUGCAUACAACGCGAACCUUGUGCUAAAAUGCAGGCUAAUACGCCAAAGAGAACCCAAUUUUUUUUACUGAAUUAAUUGCUAUGGAUCGUUGCAGAGUUAAUAUUUAACAUCAGAUGAAAAUAAAGAUAAUAUUAGUAGAUUUAUUUUUUUAAAGAUUUAUCGCCAUGUAUUAAGUUUUAGGGAAAAAUUAAUUUUAAUUUUCUCUAGGAAUUUUUGUUCAUUCCCUAGUAACCCCCCCCUCAUCCUGAAAACUUUCUUUUUUUUACACUUUGAAAAAUAUUAUUUUUUUUUAAUUGUGAUACUUUUUUCAUCAAGAUAUAGUUGAAAUUCUUGCAUAUUUUCACCUAAAAAUGUGACUGUCGAAAAUUCACAAAGGUCGAUACAGAUUUUCUGCAGAAUUUCUUUAUUGUAGUCAAUUGUCAUAAUUACUUAUUUCGCAAGUUCAAGGUUGAAAAUUUCAAAUAUACUUGUUUUCUAUUUACAUCUAUUUUUAAACAAAUAAAACGAGACUUCAAUGACACAUAUGUGAUAACGUAAGAGAAUACAGCAUUAUAUAACAAGAUUGAAUUAAAUACAGUGUCCCAAAAAACA